rnacentral:rRNA from 1 species
GGCUAACUCCGUGCCAGCAGCCGCGGUAAUACGGAGGAUCCAAGCGUUAUCCGGAUUUAUUGGGUUUAAAGGGUGCGUAGGUGGCCUGUUAAGUCAGGGGUGAAAGACGGUAGCUCAACUAUCGCAGUGCCCUUGAUACUGACGGGCUUGAAUGAACUAGAGGUAGGCGGAAUGUGACAAGUAGCGGUGAAAUGCAUAGAUAUGUCACAGAACACCAAUUGCGAAGGCAGCUUACUAUGGUUUGAUUGACACUGAGGCACGAAAGCGUGGGGAUCAAACAGGAUUAGAUACCCUGGUAGUCCACGCCCUAAACGAUGAAUACUCGAUGUUGGCGAUAUACGGUCAGCGUCUAAGCGAAAGCGUUAAGUAUUCCACCUGGGGAGUACGCCCGCAAGGGUGAAACUCAAAGGAAUUGACGGGGGCCCGCACAAGCGGAGGAGCAUGUGGUUUAAUUCGAUGAUACGCGAGGAACCUUACCCGGGCUUGAAAGUUAGUGAAUGAUCCAGAGACGGAUCAGCUCUUCGGAGCACGAAACUAGGUGCUGCA